rnacentral:rRNA from 1 species
GAUGAACGCUGGCGGCGUGCUUAACACAUGCAAGUCGAACGGAAAGGCCCUGCGUUUGUGGCUUGCUCGAGUGGCGAACGGGGGAGUAACACGUGAGUAACCUGCCCUUAUCUUUGGGAUAACUUCAGGGAACUGGGGCUAAUACCGGGUAUGAGCUCCUGCUGCAUGGGGGGGGUUGGAAAGUUUCGGCGUUUGGGGAUCGACUCGCGGCUUAUCAGCUAGUUGGUGUGGUAGUGGCUUACCAAGGCUUGGACGGGUAGCCGGCCUGGGAGGGUGACCGGGCACCAUGGGACUGAGAUACGCAGCAGAAUGCUACGGGCGGCAGAAGUGGGGAAUAUUGCACAAUGGGCGCAAGUGAGAUGCAGAGACGUCGGGUGCGGGAUGCCGGGUUUCGGGUUGUGAACAGCUUUCGCAUGUGACGAAGCGUGCGUGACGGUAAUGGGUAAAGAAGCCACGGCUAACUACGUG